rnacentral:rRNA from 1 species
GACAGAGGAUACAAGCGUUUAUCCGGAAUGAUUGGGCAUAAAGCGUCUGUAGGUGUCUUUUCAAGUCUGGUGUCAAAUCUCAGGGCUCAACCCUGGACAGGCGGUGGAAACUACCAAGUUGGAGUACGGUAGAGGCAGAGGGCUCGCAGAGCUGGUGGAGUGCUGAAAUGCAUAGAGAUCGGAAAGUACACCAAUGGCGAAAGCACUCUGCUGGGUCGACACUGACACUGAGAGACGAAAGCUAGGGGAGCAAACGGG